rnacentral:rRNA from 1 species
UACGAAGGGUGCAAGCGUUACUCGGAAUUACUGGGCGUAAAGCGUGCGUAGGUGGUUUGUUAAGUCUGAUGUGAAAGCCCUGGGCUCAACCUGGGAACUGCGUCUGAAACUACUCGGCUAGAGUAUUGGAGAGGGUAACGGAAUUCACGGUGUAGCAGUGAAAUGCGUAGAUAUCGUGAGGAACACCAGAGGCGAAGGCGGUUACCUGGACAAUUACUGACGCUCAGGCACGAAAGCGUGGGGAGCAAAAGGG